UAUCUGCAGGAUCUACCCCCAUUUCCUCCACAGUCUGUGAUUGGUUUCUUAUAGGGAAGGAAAGACUCUGUCCAGCCAACACCCAAUGCUUGCUGCACACCCCGUACUACUGCCCCUUCCUUGGUUAUAAGCAAGAGAUCGACACAGGUGGGAAAUACCAAGAAGAAAAAACCCAGCACCAGCAAUGGCCAGUGGGAAUGAAAGGUUUGAGUCAAAGAGAUGCAACAGGACAGAACAAAUCACCCACAAACGAAGGAAUGAAGACCUCCUGACAUUCUACCUGCGUCAUCAGGAUGCAAUAAGUAGUCCCUGUGCAUGCCACCAAAGCAACAUUUUCACUCUGCCAUGUUCUGACGCUAUGAGGAGAGACAUCCAAGUGCUUCAGAAGUUCAUCAGAAAGUACGAGCCCCAUGGAGCUGUUGUUACCAAAGAAGAAGUUGUUAUUGUCAGUGAAGACACUGAUGUUUGCAGACAAACAUCAUCAAAGAACUCCAGCAAAGCUGCAACCCUAAUGGAAGAGCACAGGGUAGAAGCAGGAAGCAGAGGCUGCCCAGACU